GCAAGUCGAGCGGUAACAGGAAUUAGCUUGCUACUUCGGCGUCGAGCGGCGGACGGGUGAGUAAUGCCUAGGUAUCUGCCCAGUCGAGGGGGAUAACAGUUGGAAACGACUGCUAAUACCGCAUACGCCCUACGGGGGAAAGGAGGGGAUCUUCGGACCUUUCGCUAUUAGAUGAGCCUGCGUAAGAUUAGCUAGUUGGUGGGGUAAAGGCUCACCAAGGCGACGAUCUUUAGCUGGUCUGAGAGGAUGAUC
rnacentral:rRNA from 1 species